rnacentral:rRNA from 1 species
GAUGAACGCUGGCGGCGUGCUUAACACAUGCAAGUCGAACGAUGAAGCCCAGCUUGCUGGGUGGAUUAGUGGCGAACGGGUGAGUAACACGUGAGUAACCUGCCCUUAACUCUGGGAUAAGCCUGGGAAACUGGGUCUAAUACCGGAUAGGAGCGUCCACCGCAUGGUGGGUGUUGGAAAGAUUUAUCGGUUUUGGAUGGACUCGCGGCCUAUCAGCUUGUUGGUGAGGUAAUGGCUCACCAAGGCGACGACGGGUAGCCGGCCUGAGGGGGUGACCGGCCACACUGGGACUGAGACACGGCCCAGACUCCUACGGGAGGCAGCAGUGGGGAAUAUUGCACAAUGGGCGCAAGCCUGAUGCAGCGACGCCGCGUGAGGGAUGACGGCCUUCGGGUUGUAAACCUCUUUCAGUAGGGAAGAAGCGAAAGUGACGGUACCUGCAGAAGAAGCACCGGCUAACUACGU